rnacentral:rRNA from 1 species
UACGGGGGGGGGCAAGCGUUGUUCGGAAUUACUGGGCGUAAAGGGCUCGUAGGCGGCCAACUAAGUCGGAUGUGAAAUCCCCAGGCUUAACCUGGGAACUGCAUCCGAUACUGGAUGGCUUGAAUCCGGGAGAGGGAUGCAGAAUUCCAGGUGUAGCGGUGAAAUGCGUAGAUAUCUGGAGGAAUACCGGUGGCGAAGGCGGCUCUCUAGUACGGUACUGACGCUGAGACGCGAAAGCGUGGGGAGCGAACAGG